CCCCCCCCCUCUUUUUUCCUUCUUUUUCUCUCCCUCUGUUUUCCAAAUCCUCUGUCUUUGUUUCUUUCCUUUUUCAAAUUCUUACUUUUGGGUAGGUCUUUCAAUCUUGUCUGUAACGAAUAGCGUUUAGUUACAGUAGCAUUUUAUAUAGCAUAUUUACUAUUCUUUAUGAAUAACUGUACCACCGUUAAUUAACUCUACUUCGUUCUGCGUCGUUAAUUAGUUGAAAGGGUAAUAUUGCCGAGAUAAUAAUUUAAAAUUAUUUUAUUUGAUUUAAUAUUUAUAUUUAUAUAUUUAUUAUAUUUAAUAUUAUCUAAUUA
rnacentral:lncRNA from 1 species